rnacentral:rRNA from 1 species
CACGGGGGGAGCAAGCGUUGUUCGGAAUCACUGGGCGUAAAGAGCGCGCAGGCGGUCGUUCAAGUCGCGUGUGAAAGCCCCCGGCUCAACUGGGGAGGGUCACGCGAUACUGAUCGACUCGAAGGCAGGAGAGGGUAGUGGAAUUCCCGGUGUAGUGGUGAAAUGCGUAGAUAUCGGGAGGAACACCAGUGGCGAAGGCGACUACCUGGCCUGUUCUUGACGCUGAGGCGCGAAAGCUAGGGGAGCAAACGGG